UCUGUUUAGCUUAAUGAGCUCU
rnacentral:miRNA from 1 species